UUUUCGAAUCUAAACACAACACAUGUCCGAGUAAUAAUUAAGACAAACGCAAACAAGAAUGCAGACAUGUACUUCCCCUCUAUCCACGACGACGUCGAAAUGUGGCCUUUAUUUCUUCCUAGUGAGUCAGUAGGCCUAAAUGCCAAACUAGGAAAGGUCAACCCUAUUCCUCAAGGUAGCGCAGGUGAGAAGUACUACAGCAGGCCGUCUAAGGAUGAACAUAAUACAACUUCCAGGCCGGAGGACAGCGGUAAAAGUCUACCAUCGUGGUCAAAAAGUGGACCCUUGGUGGAACCCGUGUACCGACCUCUUGAAGUCUUCGGUCCUCCAGCAGGUGGACCUAGGUACCCGCGGAGUGAGCACGCUUCUGACGUCUGUGAGCUGUCCAUCCGGCUCAAAGAAAUGGAGUUGUGCAGCAUGAUCGGCGAGCUGUUGGACGUCCCACGAUAUACAUUCUUGAGAAAUAUCAGAUACAAGCAGAUGACAACAUAGAGGAGAUGAAGACCAAACUACAAAAAAAGACACCAUCAGAAAACAGCCGACAACGUCAGAGAUAAAGACAACUUUAUAAUUCAGGUCAUAGGCUAUAUAGGACAUAUUGGUCACUCCAAUAACACCUAGAGAUUGUUUUUUUUAAUUCAGUCAAAUCUUUAUUCUUGAUGCAUUGUUAUCCUCCACUGUGUCCACGGAUAAAAUAUGGACAUGUCAGAAGAAGUGUUCCGUUACAUGAGUAAAAAUGUUUUUAUUUUACACAGUUCAUGGUGAGAUUGCUGUACGUGUUGGUAGGCCUACAGCUGAAAAAUCACCUGGGCAACACAGCUCUCGUUUUUGGGGGGUGAUGGAACUUUUUACAGGUAUAGUACAAAUGAACAAGCAAGGGUUAACAGAACAGUUCUUUAGGCCAAGAAGUAGAGAGGGUUGAACAGUUAAAUACGAAGAGAUUGUUCCGUUA